rnacentral:lncRNA from 1 species
GAACUGGUUCUCCAAGAUUUUCCGGAGUUAGCUGCAAACUGUGAAGUUGGUGAGUUUCUGCUAAAAGGCUGUUCUGACAACUUCACAACUCUACAUCAAGAAACUUGGCGUGAUUGGGGAUGGGCUUCCCUCUUUAUAAACACAGAUUUUAUUAUUAAACAUUUGAACCUUGAGCAGACUAGCUUGUCUUGGUUCCAUUAAUUCUCUACCUGCCUAGGUUCUCUCUUCUUUUUCAGCUCCAGUUGCCUCCCAGGCUUGAACCCAGACAUGAGAGCCGCAGGCCGGCCCCAACAAUUUGGCAAACCAACACGGGACCUGGGAAUGGCAGAGAAUGCUAGAAGAAACACUGCUGGUAUGGAGCCCUACAGAUAGAAAAUUCGUACCGGAAUUCGGAGAAGCAACGGGCAAAGGUUGCUAAGGUGUGGUAUGGUCUGAGCUGGAACAGCGGUAACCCGCGCUGGAUCCGCUCAGGUUCAGCAGUGAUAUCAGGAACUAGGAAUGUAACAGGCAGUCGGCCGCAGCUUCCAGAAGCUGCUUUUUAGGCGAGAGAAAUAAAAGGGUUUAAUAAAAAGGGAUUAAAUAAUCAGGCGGAUUGGCCACAGUCGGAAACUGCAUCUGGCUGGAGGAAAAUGUCCCAGAGGCAGAGAGAAACGUUAGGGGAUGCCCUGCAUUUUUCUCUCUAGCCCUUACAGCAGUAGUUCUCUGCUCUCUUUGUGUUGUCUAACGUCUAAUGUCUGGUGCACCGGCCUGUUCACGUGUCAAUUCAUGUAUGUUUGUGUCUAGUUGUCUGAAUGACUGAAUGUUCUGUGAUUCAUGUUAAAACAUAAAUAAAGGCUGCUAAAACUUUAUCUGCUGGUUUAGCAAGAGAGUGGCCACACGCUUUAGCCAGGACCAGGCAGAGCAGGAGGGUCCCUGAUGGAAAAACUGUUUUUUUAAGAAAGGGAGUCUGCAGCCUCAUGGUUUUGGGGUGAAAAAGCUGAUAGAUGUUUUUUCCUAAGAAAAUUCUCUGCAAUCAUGAUUAUUGCGUUUAGCUAAUGACAAAGUGCCUUUUAUUUUAUAACUAUAGCUAGAAAAAUUAAUAUUCUCUGAUUGGUCUAAGUGUAGCCGCUUCUUUUUUUUUUUUUUACUGGUAAUAUGCUCUGUGUCUUCACAAAAGUAUCAGCUCAUAAAUUAUUGGUUAGUAUUAAAUAGUUGUAACAUUGGUAACAGAAGGUUAGCCUUAAAUUGGCAAUUCAGGAAUCUUUUCAAACACGUAGCAUAAGCAGGCCAAAAAACUGGGUCUCCUAAGAUACUUCUAGCUGAGAUAAUAUUUAAUGUGAUUUUUAUCCUAGAAAGUAGAAUUAGAUAGAUUUAAAGCAAUGUCUCUUUAAUGAAGCAUUAAAGCUUGCACUGUCAUGCAUUCAUAGGUAUAAAUUGGCAGCCAAAUCUUGCAAUGUGUAGUAAAGAUUUAAUGUUGAUUCUAAAGUGAUAUAUUGCUUUGAAAUUGGGUAUUGCUUUCCCAAGGCUGUAGAUACUAUUCUAAUGUUGCAUAAGAAACUUAAAAAUCAUGGUUAAAAAUUGCCAGUGUUCCUUUAAGUGCAGCUGGCAGUUUGAUCGCAAAUUUAAGAUUUUAUACUCACCCAUAUAUUGUUAAUUAAGAUAAUUACAAGAGUAAUUAUCUUAUGAGAGCACUAACACAGCUCUCUGUGGCUAUACAGCCAUACUAAGCUCAGGGCAGCCUCAGCGAGGUUUGUGUGACUUUCUUUUGUUUUGCAAAUGGUGUGCCUAAGGAAGUUCUUGAAACUUGCCUCUUGCCUCUCAAGGGAAGUUUACUUAAAAUCCUUGCUCUCACACAAGGAGCUUUUUAGUUCUGGGGAGCAGCUGUUGCUCCAGAAACUAUUCAGAGGCAAUAUCUUUUUAAUACUUAAGGUUUUAGUUUACUUCAGAAGGCUUUGCAGAAAAUAAAGAAAGCUUUUAUAAUUGUUAUCAAUUAUAAUCAAUGGUAAUUAAAUAUUAGCUGCCCAUUUUAGUUAAUGGUUAUUAAAUGUGCCCACAGCAAUUCUUUAGCAGAAUGCAUUGUGACUAUGGGUGUGAAAACCAUAGCUGUCAUAAGCUGACCUUAAGCCUUAUCCUUACUGUAAACAUUUAUCUGGUUCCUAUAAAUCCUUUUGAAGUCAUUCCUUUGUUUUGUGUCAGGUAACUUCAAGGUACUUUGCCUGCUGUUAUUUCCUACCCCCUUUAUUUUCUGUAUUCUUUGGCAAGAGAAAACGUUAUUGCAGAGUCGUUUUUCUUAUCCUCCCGGCCAGCCGGCUGCUGGCUGCUGCGGGGCGGGGCCUUGAAGUAUGCAGCUUUCCCUUAGUGGUAGUGGCACAGAGCCGCUAGAAAGUGGGCGCCUUUGUAACGAACUCAGGGGAGGGCUGCGCUCGUCAUUGGUCCCAUGAGCCUCCACCUGUCCCAGCUGGGGUAGCAUAUUUUUCCCACUAAGACUUGGGGUGCUCUGCCGUCCUCGCAACAGGUUGGGCUGCCUUCAGCUUCUUCCUCCUGAGAGGAAGGGGGGGGGGGGGGCAAGGCGGAGGUGGCACUCACCUCAAAGCACAGUUUCAGCAUCCUAUUAAAACUACUGUGCUGCUAAUAAAGAAUUGUAAGAU